AGCUUUGUGUAGGGCACCAUCGUAGCCAGGGAGGUCUACCCAAGGCACGAUUAUUGUUCAUUGAAAACUUUUUCCAAUUAGUCAAUCACGGAUAGGCUACUUUGCAUAUCAGAAAUUAUACUGA
rnacentral:snRNA from 1 species